rnacentral:rRNA from 1 species
AGAUUGAACGCUGGCGGCGUGCUUAACACAUGCAAGUCGUGCGAGAAAGGGGACUUCGGUCCCCUGAGUAGAGCGGCGCACGGGUGAGUAACGCGUGGAUUAUCUACCCAGAUAUUCGGGAUAACGGCGGGAAACUGCCGCUAAUACCGGAUACGCUCCAAUUUCGGUUGGGGGAAAGGCGGCCUCUGCUUGCAAGCUGUCGUAUCUGGAUGAGUCCGCGUCCCAUUAGCUUGUUGGCGGGGUAAUGGCCCACCAAGGCUACGAUGGGUAGCUGGUCUGAGAGGAUGAUCAGCCACACUGGAACUGAAACACGGUCCAGACUCCUACGGGAGGCAGCAGUGGGGAAUAUUGCGCAAUGGGGGAAACCCUGACGCAGCGACGCCGUGUGAGGGAAGAAGGCUUUCGGGUCGUAAACCUCUGUCGGGAGGGAAGAACCUUCCAGGUCUGAAUAAGCCCUGGAACUGACGGUACCUCCAAAGGAAGCACCGGCUAACUCCGUGCCAGCAGCCGCGGUAAUACGGAGGGUGCAAGCGUUAAUCGGAAUCACUGGGCGUAAAGCGCGCGUAGGCCGCCUUUUAAGUCGGACGUGAAAGCCCUCGGCUCAACCGAGGAACUGCGUUCGAAACUGGGAGGCUUGAGUCCUGGAGAGGGUGGCGGAAUUCCGGGUGUAGGAGUGAAAUCCGUAGAUAUCCGGAGGAACGCCGGUGGCGAAGGCGGCCACCUGGACAGGUACUGACGCUGAGGCGCGAAAGCGUGGGGAGCAAACAGGAUUAGAUACCCUGGUAGUCCACGCUGUAAACGAUGGAUGCUAGGUGUCGGGGAGCGAUCUUCGGUGCCGCAGUUAACGCAUUAAGCAUCCCGCCUGGGGAGUACGGUCGCAAGGCUGAA